rfam:Ascaris suum AG00021, whole genome shotgun sequence.
UUGCGACCUUCUCCCUGAGACCUCUGCUGUGACAGUACGCAGGGUCACAGUAAGAGCACCUCAGGGGCCAGGUCUCA